AUUGAACGCUGGCGGCAUGCCUUACACAUGCAAGUCGAACGGCAGCACGGGUGCUUGCACCUGGUGGCGAGUGGCGAACGGGUGAGUAAUACAUCGGAACAUGUCCUGUAGUGGGGGAUAGCCCGGCGAAAGCCGGAUUAAUACCGCAUACGAUCUACGGAUGACAGCGGGGGACCUUCGGGCCUCGCGCUAUAGGGUUGGCCGAUGGCUGAUUAGCUAGUUGGUGGGGUAAAGGCCUACCAAGGCGACGAUCAGUAGCUGGUCUGAGAGGACGACCAGCCACACUGGGACUGAGACACGGCCCAGACUCCUACGGGAGGCAGCAGUGGGGAAUUUUGGACAAUGGGCGAAAGCCUGAUCCAGCAAUGCCGCGUGUGUGAAGAAGGCCUUCGGGUUGUGAAGCACUUUUGUCCGGAAAGAAAUCCUUGGCCCUAAUACGGUCGGGGGAUGACGGUACCGGAAGAAUAAGCACCGGCUAACUACGUG
rnacentral:rRNA from 1 species